rnacentral:sRNA from 1 species
GAAAGCACCUUCGGGUGUGAGUAAAGCGGCGAACGGGUGAGUAACACGUGGGUAACCUGCCUCUAAGAUUGGGAUAACCCGUCGAAAGAUGGGCUAAUACCGGAUGAGACCACAGUUUCCGAGGAAACCGGGGUCAAAGGUAGCCUCUGCAUGCAAGCUAUCACUUAGAGACGGGCCUGCGCACCAUUAGCUAGUUGGUAGGGUAACGGCCUACCAAGGCAAAGAAGGUUAGCUGGUAUGAGAGGAUGAUAAGCCACACUGGAAUUGAUUUUCGGUCCAGACGAGUACGGGAGGCAUUCAGUCGAUCUCGCUAUUAACUC